rnacentral:lncRNA from 1 species
UCCAUAAUUUAAUUCUCAGUCAAGUCAGCUUAUAUGUUCAAUCAAGUCAAGUACUUUCAAAUUGAAUAUAUAAAUAUAGGCCAAUUCCUUCCUACUUUGUCUUGCGUGACUCCAUAGGUUCAAACAGUAAACCGAUAUCACAGGAAUCAAUUUUUGUACUAAUCGAGAUACUAUCUAGCAAUAAUUUUUGAUGUCCAGAU